GGCUGGUCCGAUGGCAGUGGGUUAUCAGAACUUAUUAACAUUAGUGUCACUAAAGUUGGUAUACCACCCCCCCCACUGCUAAAUUUGACUGGCUUAUA
ensembl:misc_RNA Y_RNA Y RNA